rnacentral:rRNA from 1 species
UAGGGGGCGUGCGUUAUCCGGAUUUAUUGGGCGUAAAGCGUGUGUAGGCGGUUUAUUAAGUCUAAGAUUAAAGCCCGAGGCUUAACCUCGGUUCGUUUUAGAAACUGGUAGACUUGAGUGUGGUAGAGGCAAGUGGAAUUUCUAGUGUAGCGGUUAAAUGCGUAGAUAUUAGAAGGAACACCAGUGGCGAAGGCGGCUUGCUGGGCCAUUACUGACGCUGAGACACGAAAGCGUGGGGAGCAAA